AUAUUGCACCAUGGGCGCAAGCCUGAUGCAGCGACGCCGCGUGGGGGAUGAAGGCCUUCGGGUUGUACCAUCCUUUCGCUAUCGACACAGCCACUUGUGGUUACGGUAGGUAGAUAAGAAGCACCGGCUAACUAAGUGCCAGCAGCCGCGGUAAUACGUAGGGUGCAAGCGUUGUCCGGAAUUACUGGGCGUAAAGAGCUCGUAGGGGGUUUGUCGCGUCGUCUGUGAAAUCCCGGGGCUUAACUUCGGGCGUGCAGGCGAUACGGGCAUAACUUGAGUGCUGUAGGGGAGACUGGAAUUCCUGGUGUAGCGGUGAAAUGCGCAGAUAUCAGGAGGAACACCGAUGGCGAAGGCAGGUCUCUGGGCAGUUACUGACGCUGAGGAGCGAAAGCAUGGGUAGCGAACAG
rnacentral:rRNA from 1 species